rnacentral:rRNA from 1 species
UACGGAAGGCAGCAGUGGGGAAUAUUGCACAAUGGGCGCAAGCCUGAUGCAGCCAUGCCGCGUGUAUGAAGAAGGCCUUCGGGUUGUAAAGUACUUUCAGUCGUGAGGAAGGUGUUAAGGUUAAUAACCUUAGCAAUUGACGUUAGCGACAGAAGAAGCACCGGCUAACUCCGUGCCAGCAGCCGCGGUAAUACGGAGGGUGCGAGCGUUAAUCGGAAUUACUGGGCGUAAAGGGCACGCAGGCGGUUAAUUAAGUUGGAUGUGAAAUCCCCGGGCUUAACCUGGGAAUGGCAUUCAAGCUGGUUAGCUAGAGUCUUGUAGAGGGGGUAGAAUUCCAUGUGUAGCGGUGAAAUGCGUAGAGAUGUGGAGGAAUACCGGUGGCGAAGGCGGCCCCUGGACAAAGGCUGACGCUCAUGUGCGAAAGCGUGGGGAGCAAACG